AACGAACGCUGGCGGCAUGCCUAAUACAUGCAAGUCGAACGCGACCUUCGGGUCUAGUGGCUCACGGGUGGGUAACGCGUGGGAACCUGCCCUUAGGUUCGCAAUCACUUCGCGAAAGGGGUGCUUUUGCAGGAUAAUGUCUUCGGACCAAAGAUUUAUCGUCUGUGGAUAGGCCCGCGUAGGAUUAGCUUGUUGGUAGGGUAAAAGGCUACCAAGGCGACGAUCCAUAGCUGGUCUGAGAGGAUGAUCAGCCACACUGGGACUGGGACACGGCCCAGACUCCUACGGGAGGCAGCAGUGGGGAAUAUUGGACAGUGGGCGAAAGCCUGAGCCAGCAAGGCCGCGUGAGUGAUGAAGGCCUUAGGGUUGUAAAGCUCUUUUACCCGGGAUGAUAAUGACAGUACCUGAAGAAUAAGCUACGGCUAACUCCGUG
rnacentral:rRNA from 1 species